AAAGGUGGAUCUGGCCAGUAGCAUAUUCUUGUCUCAAAGAUUGAGCCAUGCACAUGGAAGUACACACUGCCGGCACAAUGACACUGUGAAUGGCUCAUUCAAUUAGUUAUGGUUUUUUUGAUCACUCCAUCUUUCACUUGGAUAAAUGUGCUCAUUCCAAAGCGAAUACAUGCUGACAAAAGCUGGCCUCCCAUGAUGUGUGAAGAGACCAAUCCUGGCUCUCCCGACCCCUUUGGUGACUCUAGCUAAUUUGGGCAUAUUCCACAUCCUAGAGAUGGUGACAAUUCCUUCUGAUGUCUGCUCCAUCAACUUCCGAAAGUACUUGCUGUGCCUUCCAUGGACACCACGGAUAACAGGGAAUCAAACUCCCAGAGAAAUUUCUACCACAUCCAAGGAAGGCAUCAGGCAUGCAAAUUAACCACUCCCGACUAAGUAAGGUAGUGACAUAAAAAAACAAUACAGGACUUUUUUAGAGACCCUCUAAUUUGAAUGAGUACACAUUAGAUCCAUUAACAACAAUUAAUUACAGGGCAAGUCUAGUGCCAGCAGCUUCGCUAAUUCCAGCUCAAAUAGCGUAUAUUAAAGUUGCUGCAUUUGACCAGCUCAUAGUUGGAUCUUGUGAUGGAGCUGUCUUCCAGCACAAUCUGCAAUAAUGCCUGUCCCAGACCCUGCCUCGCAGCAUCCCCUUGUUGCUCUUGACUUUGUGUCCUAGGUGUCAGAAGUGUUUACUUAAAAAACAGAGUGUUCAAAGCAGGCGGGUUGCCUGACUACUUCAGCUGGAAUGAUGGAAUAGGAAUCCAAUUAUAUUUUGUUUGUUAUUGGAACUUGGACCAUGAUUAAAAGGGAUGGCCAGAGGCAUUCAUGUUGUGCAGCUAGAGGUGAAAUGCUUGGACUGUCGUACUUCUGACCACACAUGAUGCCAACUAGCAUUCCGGUGGCCUAAUUCCAUGACCGGUUCAGUAGCUUCCUGGAAUCCAAAGUCGUUGGGUUCCAGGGGGAGUAUGGUUGCAAAGCUGAAACUUAAAGGAAUUGAUGGAAGGGCACCACCAGUAGUGGAGCCUGUGGCUUAAUUUGACUCUCAGCACAGGAACCCUCACCACAAUAGGAUUGACAUAUUGAUUGCUGUUUCGCUAUUGUGUGGGUGCAUGGUCGUUCUCAGUUCUCAAUUGAAUAAGCAAUUUGUCUGGUUAAUAUCUGAUGAUUAAAGAAACUCAUUCAUACUGACUAGUAAUGCAACCCCCAGCAGUCUGUGUUCACCUUCUUAGAGGGACAGAUGGCAUUAUGCACUUGGAGAUCAAGCAAUUACAGGACUGUGAUGCCCUUAGAUGUCCAGGUCUACACGUGCACUACACGGAAUGAAUACGCCUGUGUCGACCCUUCACUGACAGGUAUGGCUAACCCACUGAACCCUGUUCUUGAUAUUUAUUGCAAUAAUUUCCCAUGAACAAGGAAUUUCCAGUAAAUGCGUGCCAUAUACUCACGUUGAUUAAGUCCCUGCACUUUGUACACAGCGCCUUUUGCUAUUACUGAUUUAAAGUUUUAGUGGGGUCCUUGGACUGAGAAGAUGAUCAAACUUGACUAUCUAGAGGAACUAAAAGUCAUACCAUGGUUUCCGUAGGUGAACCUGCAGAAG
rnacentral:rRNA from 1 species